UACGGAGGGUGCAAGCGUUAUCCGGAUUUACUGGGUUUAAAGGGUGCGUAGGUGGGUAAGUAAGUCAGUGGUGAAAUCUUCGAGCUUAACUCGGAAACUGCCAUUGAUACUAUUUAUCUUGAAUACUUUGGAGGUAAGCGGAAUAUGUCAUGUAGCGGUGAAAUGCUUAGAUAUGACAUAGAACACCAAUUGCGAAGGCAGCUUACUACACAGUUAUUGACACUGUGGCACGAAAGCGUGGGGAUCAAACAGG
rnacentral:rRNA from 1 species